rnacentral:rRNA from 1 species
GAUGAAUGCUGGCGGCGUGCCUAACACAUGCAAGUCGAGCGGCAGCGCGGAGAGUUUACUCUCUGGCGGCGAGCGGCGGACGGCUGAGUAACGCGUGGGAAUGUGCCCCAAAGUGAGGAAUAACUGCCCGAAAGGGUGGCUAAUGCAGUAUAUGAUCUUCGGAUUAAAGGAUUUAUCCGCUUUGGGAGCGGCCCGCGUCGGAUUAGGUUGUUGGUGAGGUAAUGGCUCACCAAGCCGACGAUCCGUAGCUGGUCUGAGAGGAUGAUCAGCCAGACUGGGACUGAGACACGGCCCAGACUCCUACGGGAGGCAGCAGUGAGGAAUCUUCCACAAUGGGCGAAAGCCUGAUGGAGCAACGCCGCGUGCAGGAUGAAGGCCUUCGGGUUGUAAACUGCUUUUAUAAGUGAAGAAUAUGACGGUAACUUAUGAAUAAGCACCGGCUAACUACGUGCCAGCCGCCGCAGUAAAAC